UACCAGGCUAACUUGCAAACAAAUUGGUAACUAUUAUCCAUUACUUUAUGGCUUCUCAGUAAAUUAAUUUAAUCAAAACUUGCAAUCUUUAAAAGUGCAAUUACUCAAUAGUUGGAAGAACAAUUGUAUUUAGGUUUAAGUGUUUGCAAUUCAAUGUGCACUGUAUGAAUAAUAAUAUAUAAAAAGUAGCAUGUGUUAGUAAAAAAAAAAAAAAAAAAAGCCAAGUAGGAAACGUCAUAGCCAGCCUGCGCGCAGCUGCGUCAAACAUUUGCCUCAACGAUGCGUGUUCAUCUCCUACUCAAGUUAGGCAGGCGGAGUGAGUCCCACAACUUGUCGACUGUCGCCAUUUUAAGCAGGCGACGUGCAGCUGGCCGUAGCCCGCGAAGGUGGACGCUCCGCCGCGGCGAAGUUCGGCGGAGGUGAACCGGCCUUUUGUGCUAGAGGAGACCAGGAAGCGACACUCACCUCGCCGUGGUCGGAACAUACGCACGCAGAAGUUUUCAACCACAGGAGCUCAGCGGAACCAGUAAUUGACGGGCGGUCUGCGCCUCAUUGAUGGUAACUUCAAGGUGGGAGCUGCUCGGUCCAUCGGCCGGUGGCAAGACGCUGGAACCCGGCUGCUGGCGACCGCGACCACCCCCUUCGUCUCGGGCUUGUUUAUUUCGAGUGGUUCCAGUGUGAAAGCAGCCAGCGAAGGGGAGGAAAACACGGCGGACGUAGCGAGGGAAGAGACGGACACGUGAUGUCUACGUCACUGACGGUGGAGUUGGCGUGAGAGCGAAGAGCUCGACUACACAAGAGCAGCCGCCAUGGCUUUGUCACCGAACACCGGGGGGGUCAAACUUUUUGGUGCAUCUUAGCGGCACACGGCCCUGCUUUAACGCCAUUUACACACCUGUCUCCCCCAGGUGACAGCUCUUAAAGAGACAGGCACGCACAAAUAGCUCCAUGUUCCUCAAACAACCCCACUGCUCAUCACCAAAUGCUUAAUUCAACUCUAAACCAAAAAAAUAACAUUCAUUUUAAUUCAGAUUAACUUGACAUUGAAUUUACCUAGUGUUUAUGGCUGUGAAAUAUAUUCUGCAUUUACUUACUCAUUCACUCAAGGUCAUUACAGUACAGUAUUUGAGUAAUUCCUUGUCUAUAAUACAGUAUUUAUGUCAAUUUAUUCUGUUUCCCCCUCCCUGAAUAAACUCUACAAACUAUC